UACAGAGGUCUCAAGCGUUGUUCGGAUUCAUUGGGCGUAAAGGUGCGUAGGCGGCGCGGUAAGUCGGGUGUGAAAUCUCGGAGCUUAACUCCGAAACUGCAUUCGAUACUGCCGUGCUUGAGGACUGGAGAGGAGACUGGAAUUUACGGUGUAGCGGUGAAAUGCGUAGAUAUCGUAAGGAAGACCAGUGGCGAAGGCGGGUCUCUGGGACAGUUCCUGACGCUGAGGCACGAAGGUCAGGGGAGCAAACGGG
rnacentral:rRNA from 1 species